GCGAAGCGGUGACGUGGAGCAAACCUCAGAAAGCCAAUCUCAGUUCGGAUUGUAGGCUGCAACUCGCCUACAUGAAGUUGGAAUCGCUAGUAAUCGCGAAUCAGAAUGUCGCGGUGAAUACGUUCCCGGGUCUUGUACACACCGCCCGUCACACCACGAGAGUUUACAACACCCGAAGUCAGUGGCCUAACCUCAAGGAGGGAGCUGCCUAAGGUGGGGUAGAUGAUUGGGGUGAAGUCGUAACAAGGUAUC
rnacentral:rRNA from 1 species